rnacentral:rRNA from 1 species
GAUGAACGCUGGCGGUGUGCCUAACACAUGCAAGUCGAACGGCAAGACGAUGAGAUCUCUCUCUUGCGGUUGGCGGCGGGCGGACGAGUGAGAAGUGGAUCACAAUCUUCUUUGACUGGGAUAACAACGGGGAGCAGCUGAUGCUAAUGGCUCAUAUGUUCUACGGGUUGAAUCAAUAGAUCUUCAGGGUUUUGGCGAUUCUAUUAGCCGACGUCGCGUUGGCUAGUUGGCGGGGUAAGGGCUCACCAAGGCAACGAACCGUAGCGUGUCUGAGAGGAUGAUCGGCCACACUGGAACUGAGACACGGUCCAGACUCCUACGGGAGGCAGCAGUGGGGAAUAUUGGACAAUGGGCGCAAGCCUGAUCCAGCAAUGCCGCGUGGGUGAAGAAGGCCUUCGGGUUGUAAAGCCCUGUUGUUGGGAAAGAACAGCAGCAGGAUAAAACAUGGAUGUUUUGACGGUACCUAAAGAAUAAGCACCGGCUAACUUCGUG